AGUGAACGCUGGCGGUAGGCCUAACACAUGCAAGUCGAACGGCAGCACAGUAAGAGCUUGCUCUUACGGGUGGCGAGUGGCGGACGGGUGAGGAAUACAUCGGAAUCUACUUUUUCGUGGGGGAUAACGUAGGGAAACUUACGCUAAUACCGCAUACGACCUACGGGUGAAAGCAGGGGAUCUUCGGACCUUGCGCGAUUGAAUGAGCCGAUGUCGGAUUAGCUAGUUGGCGGGGUAAAGGCCCACCAAGGCGACGAUCCGUAGCUGGUCUGAGAGGAUGAUCAGCCACACUGGAACUGAGACGCGGUCCAGACUCCUACGGGAGGCAGCAGUGGGGAAUAUUGGACAAUGGGCGGAAGCCUGAUCCAGCCAUACCGCGUGGGUGAAGAAGGCCUUCGGGUUGUAAAGCCCUUUUGUUGGGAAAGAAAAGCAGCAGGUUAAUACCCCGCUGUUCUGACGUUACCCAAAGAAUAAGCACCGGCUAACUUCGU
rnacentral:rRNA from 1 species